AUCCUCUCCUCAGUGGUGUUUAAGUACGGAUGGUGUGUGUGGAAGACUGCUGUCGGUUGGUCUAGACCUUAAAACGCACAUUUCUCUUGCAGAAAAAGUAUAUUUGCAGCUUAAAUAACAUCUAGCAUCUAUAACAACAGCUGCAAAUCGAAGGGAACUAUCAUGAACCAAAGUAUUUUCUUAAAGCAUCCCAUGAUUUAGCCAGUGAGGAUGCUAGUUAAUAGGAAGAAAGACGAUUCUCCUUCACUUCAGACUUUAUUUCAUAAUUAGAAUCUGGUUCUGGUAAAAUGCAACAGCAAGCUAGUCUUUCUACUUUAUUGUGAGGUCUGAACAAGGUGCCUGGAGUUUCUGGAUAACAAUCAGCUGUAGAAAACAUAUCAAUUGUUCACUUUUCUUACCUUUGCUGGUGUUAAUCUUGAUUUGGAGCGUUCUGCUUCUGCCAAGUUCUCUUUGCAAGAGUUUUUGGGCCCAUUUAAACCCGUUUUAUUGGAGGAUUCUAGAGAGAAAUCUGGUCUUGGAUCUUAGUCUGAACUGAUAAUGGGCUCAGAUAAUCUAGUAACUUAAGAAGUUUGUAGAUUUGGUUUGAAGUCUUCUGAACUGCUCACUUGAGGCUGUGAUUAUAAUAUCAAUCCUGAGUGAAAAGUUUAAAAAUCUCACUUCCAGUUGUCAGUGAAGUGUAAAAAAGACUAAUUAUUUCAGUCUUUCUAGAACAUUUUCUCGUUUAGACUCUCUCUGUCUUCUGUUUUUUUCCCAGUAUUAUUCCAUUACGCUGUGUAACUACUGAGGUGCAGAGCAGUAUGUAGCCAGAAUGAACGAGCCUUUGAGCCGGACCUCUGUGAGGUCUGUCAAUUUUCAGAGCGUCUAGCUGAUGGCUUUUGCCAUUUGCAUCUUUUGUGGUCAUAUUGUAUGGAGGACUAAAAGUGCCAAAAUUAAAUAAAUAAAUACAUCAUUAAAUAAUUAAUUAAAUAUGUCAUUAAUUAAUUAAAAUUGGAAUUAAAUACUUAAAUGUGUUAUUAAAUAAAUAUAUCAUUAAAUAAUUAAAUAUGUCAUUAAUUAGUUAAAAUUGGAAUUAAAUAUGUCAUUAAUUAAUUAAAAUUGGAAUUAAAUACAUAAAUGUGUUAUUAAAUAUGUCAUUAAUUUAUUAAAAUAACAAUUAUUUUAAGUAAAAAACAUAUUUCAUUAUUUCACGAUUUAAUUAAUUAUUUCAUGGUCCUUGUGUUGCAGUGGAUCAUGAAUUAAUUUUAUCUGUCAACCUCGCCCGUCAAAGUCGGUGGGCGGAUCCUAACACCUGAUUGGUUACCCUGCACAUCAAGUCAAGGCAAAUCGAUUCCAGAUAAUGGAUUGACGCAGAGCUUGUGAACACAUUCCGAUACACUGGGUGGCGCUAUUCACCUCUACGUUGGUUUGGAUACUCAAUAAAACAAAACUUUAUUAGCAACCGCUAAAGACUCGGUCCUCUUUCCCAAAUGUUGAUACAUGCGGUGCAAGACAAAUUUUCCUUUAGCAUUUCCUUUAGCAUCUACUCGGCGCGCCACGGCUCGUCUCGGUUUAGUUGUUUUUCCAUUACAUUGAGAACCACCUCAUCGUGGGUGGAGUCGUCAUAGCACGGCGGUCCGAAAGUCCCUUACCGUCAUUUCUGUGCGACACAAACGCAAUGCAACAAUGUACAUGGAGGCGAUAGUACACCUGCUGCUCGGUCUGUGGCUUUCUGUCAGAUUCAGAGUAAUAGAAGAGUCGGAGAAAGCUGAGAGCGACGAGUCGAAACACUGAGGAGACACACAGGAGAGUUUGGGAGGCGAUGCAGCAGUAUCAAGCCGAAGACAAGAGGAUAUGAACGAGACGACAUAUGAGGAUGCUCUCUGAUGAGACUUCAUGGGAUUUACCUGAAGCAGCAGCACAUGAGCCUGCAGUGGCACAAGGUGUAGAGGAGGAGGACAGAGAUGUACAGGAUGCACUGAUGCACUACGUGUCAUGCAAAGUUAUUCUUCUUGUUAUACUUCUGUUUUUCGGUCCCCGGACCGCUAUUGUUUUCUUUAAUGCAAUUCUGACAAUAAACUUUUGUAGAUGUGUCUAUA